rnacentral:rRNA from 1 species
UACGUAGGGGGCUAGCGUUGUCCGGAAUCAUUGGGCGUAAAGAGCGUGUAGGCGGCUCGGUAAGUCCGCUGUGAAAGUCCAGGGCUCAACCCUGGAAUGCCAGUGGAAACUGUCGAGCUGGAGUCCGGAAGAGGCGAGUGGAAUUCCUGGUGUAGCGGUGAAAUGCGCAGAUAUCAGGAGGAACACCAAUGGCGAAGGCAGCUCGCUGGGACGGUACUGACGCUGAGACGCGAAAGCGUGGGGAGCAAACAGG